rnacentral:rRNA from 1 species
UGCGGAAGGAUCAUUGUCGAAACCUGCCAAGCAGUUUGACUUGAGAACUUGUAAACCCCCGGCGCGGUAUGCGCCAAGGAUUACUGAACUGAGAUUGCUGCCUUGCCCCGCUCCGUUCGCGGUUCUGCGGGCAGGUGUUAGCAUCUUUAUAAACAAUAUGACUCUCGGCAACGGAUAUCUCGGCUCUCGCAUCGAUGAAGAACGUAGCGAAAUGCGAUACUUGGUGUGAAUUGCAGAAUCCCGUGAACCAUCGAGUCUUUGAACGCAAGUUGCGCCCAAGGCCAUCAGGCUUAGGGCACGUCUGCCUGGGUGUCACGUGACUUGUCGCUCCCUUCUAGAUUUUGGGAGGAGCGGAUCAUGUCCUCCCGUGCCCUACCAUUUGGUGCGGUGGGACCAAAUGCUUGAUACUGUUGAUGGACGUUCUGCGAUUGGUGGUUGUGCCUAGAGUGCAAACGUCGUUCCACGUCCAAUCGUUUGCGGAUAUCAGACCCGUUGGAGUCAAAAAGUGAUUUGGCUUACGAAAUGCGAUCCCAGGUCAGGCGGGACUACCCGCUGAGUUUAA